GAUGAACGCUGGCGGCGUGCCUAAUACAUGCAAGUCGAGCGAACAGAUGAGAAGCUUGCUUCUCUGAUGUUAGCGGCGGACGGGUGAGUAACACGUGGGUAACCUACCUAUAAGACCGGGAUAACUCCGGGAAACCGGGGCUAAUACCGGAUAAUAUUUUGAACCGCAUGGUUCAAUAGUGAAAGACGGUUUCCGCUGUCACUUAUAGAUGGACCCGCGCCGUAUUAGCUAGUUGGUAAGGUAACGGCUUACCAAGGCGACGAUACGUAGCCGAGCUGAGAGGGUGAUCGGCCACACUGGAACUGAGACACGGUCCAGACUCCUACGGGAGGCAGCAGUAGGGAAUCUUCCGCAAUGGGCGAAAGCCUGACGGAGCAACGCCGCGUGAGUGAUGAAGGUCUUCGGAUCGUAAAACUCUGUUGUUAGGGAAGAACAAAUUUGUUAGUAACUGAACAAGUCUUGACGGUACCUAACCAGAAAGCCACGGCUAACUACGUGCCAGCCGCCGCAGUAA
rnacentral:rRNA from 1 species